rnacentral:rRNA from 1 species
AUACGUAGGUGGCAAGCGUUGUCCGGAUUUACUGGGUGUAAAGGGCGUGUAGGCGGAGAUGCAAGUCAGGAGUGAAAUCUAGGGGCUCAACCCCUAAACUGCUUUUGAAACUGUAUCCCUUGAGUAUCGGAGAGGCAGGCGGAAUUCCUAGUGUAGCGGUGAAAUGCGUAGAUAUUAGGAGGAACUCCAGUGGCGAAGGCGGCCUGCUGGACGACAACUGACGCUGAGGCGCGAAAGCGGGGGGAGCAAACAGGAUUAGAUACCCUGGUAGUCCACGCGGUAAACGAUGAAUACUAGGUGUGGGGGGACUGACCCCCUCCGUGCCGCAGUUAACACAAUAAGUAUUCCGCCUGGGGAGUACGAUCGCAAGAUUGAAACUCAAAGGAAUUGACGGGG